GAGCGCCGUAGCAAUACGGAGCGGCAGACGGGAGAGUAACACGUGGGAACGUGCCCUUCAGUUCGGAACAACCCAGGGAAACUUGGGCUAAUACCGGAUACGUCCGUAAGGAGAAAGAUUUAUCGCUGAAGGAUCGGCCCGCGUCUGAUUAGCUAGUUGGUGGGGUAAUGGCCCACCAAGGCGAUGACGGGUAGCUGGUCUGAGAGGAUGGCCAGCCACAUUGGGACUGAGAAACGGCCCAGACUCCUACGGGAGGCAGCAGUGGGGAAUCUUGCGCAAUGGCCGAAAGGCUGACGCAGCGACGCCGCGUGUGGGAGGACGCCCUUCGGGGUGUAAACCACUGUUGCCCGGGACGAAUGACCCUUUCGAGGGGAGUGACGGUACCGGGUGAGGAAGCACCGGCUAACUCCGUG
rnacentral:rRNA from 1 species